GUCUAUGGCCAUGCCACCCUGAACACGCCCAAUCUUGUCUGAUCUCAGAAGCUAAGCAGGGUUGAGUCUGGUUAGUACUUGGAUGGGAGACCACCUAGGAAGACCAAGUGCUGUAGGUG
rnacentral:rRNA from 1 species